rnacentral:rRNA from 1 species
UGAGGAAUAUUGGUCAAUGGGCGAGAGCCUGAACCAGCCAAGUCGCGUGAGGGAAGACGGUCCUACGGAUUGUAAACCUCUUUGUCGGGGAGCAAUAAAGCGUACGCGUACGCAGAUGCGAGUACCCGAAGAAAAAGCAUCGGCUAACUCCGUGCCAGCAGCCGCGGUAAUACGGAGGAUGCGAGCGUUAUCCGGAUUUAUUGGGUUUAAAGGGUGCGCAGGCGGAAAGUGCAAGUCAGCGGUCAAACGACGGGGCUCAACCCCGUCUCGCCGUUGAAACUGUCUUUCUAGAGUGAGCGAGAAGUAUGCGGAAUGCGUGGUGUAGCGGUGAAAUGCAUAGAUAUCACGCAGAACUCCGAUUGCGAAGGCAGCAUACCGGCGCCCAACUGACGCUGAGGCACGAAAGCGUGGGGAUCGAACAGGAUUAGAUACCC